UAUUUUUCAGCCCUCUCUCUCACUAAAAUCAGAAAUGGCUCUCAGAAACGCAAAAUCCUUCUGUCUCUUAGAAAUUAAGCGACCUCCUCUCUCGGAUCUCUUCCCUCUCAGCCCCAUCCAUGGUGGAGUGACACAGGCAUGUCUGAUUCCUCGCUAAGCAUUGCAUCCGUGCUGCAACCAAUAAAUAGCCCAGCUAUCUACACACUGCCAUGUCUCGGAAAUCCAGUACCUCGAGCAGCAAGACCAACAACCUGCUCAGAUGAAACCACAGAUUGCAUCCUGCUCUAGUCUGACACACUAUAGGUAGUUUUUAUCUCCAUCUCCCUUCGAUUUUUGUCUCAAGUGCUUAGAUUAGGGAAAAAUGAAUGAAAAUUGCCCAAUGCAUGUGUGUUUCCAUGGAAAAAUCGAGACUCACAGAUCCUCAUUGAAAAGGUGCACUGUCUGUUACCGCCACUAAAAUUUUCUGAUCAGUAAGCAGCUGUCCUGUAAUUAGAUUUGUCAGAGUAUUCAUGCAUUCUUGCUGCUUAGCGGGUUGCCUUGGAGUCUCGGGAGAGUGCAUGAGUGGCACACAGACUUUUGUAGGAGCAGAUUCUAUGGAAUUUUCAAGGUCAUCAUGGGCUGUUUCCUCCUUUGGACGUGAAUAACAGACAGAUGGCUUCUCAGUUCCUGCACCAACCUCUUGAUCAUCAUAGCUUUUCCCACGGUUUACUGCUUGAAUUUGAAAUCCUUCAUUUGUUAUUUCAAUGUAUAAGUCAGUUAAUUCCAACAAUUUAGCGAGCUUGUCCUCCACCGAAAGCUCUUGUGGCACAUUAAGCUGCUCGAAAUAUUGCCCAAGAUGCUCUUUCAAACUUUUAGUGUAGAACUCUGAAUGGGGAUUAUUCCAGUUCCAUUUUGAAUCGAUUCUCAUAUAUAUAUAUACUCUUGGAC